rnacentral:rRNA from 1 species
UACGUAGGGUGCGAGCGUUGUCCGGAUUUAUUGGGCGUAAAGAGCUCGUAGGCGGCUUGUCGCGUCGAAUGUGAAAACUCGGGGCUUAACUCGGAACGUUCAAGUGAUACUGUCGGACUAGAGUACAGAAGGGGCAACUGGAAUUCUCGGUGUAGCGGUGAAAUGCGCAGAUAUCAGGAGGAACACCGGUGGCGAAGGCGGGUCUCUGGGCAACAACUGACGCUGAGGAGCGAAAGCGUGGGGAGCGAACGGG